AGUAAGAUCAGCUAAUAAAGCUAGUGGGUUCAUACCCCAAAAAUGAGUUUUCUCUCUUACUA
rnacentral:tRNA from 1 species